AGAGUUUGAUCCUGGCUCAGGAUGAACGCUGGCGGCGUGCCUAACACAUGCAAGUCGAACGUGAGGGGAUACUUGUAUUCCUGAAAGUGGCGAACGGGUGAGUAGCACGUUGGUGACCUGCCCCGAAGCGGGGGAUAACUCUGGGAAACCAGAGCUAAUACCCCAGAUGUUUAAGGGUUUAGACGCCUUAAACUAAAGUUCUCGGAUGCUUUGGGAGGGGCCUGCGGGCUAUCAGCUAGUUGGUGGGGUAAAGGCCUACCAAGGCGAAGACGGCUAGGGGGCGUGAGAGCGUGACCCCCCACAAGGGAACUGAGAAACGGUCCCUACUCCUACGGGAGGCAGCAGUGAGGAAUAUUGAGCAAUGGGCGCAAGCCUGACUCAGCAACGCCGCGUGGAUGAUGACGGCCUUCGGGUUGUAAAAUCCUUUUCUGAGGGAAGAUAAUGACGGUACCUCAGGAAUAAGUUCCGGCUAACUACGUGCCAGCCGCCGCGGUAAUUC
rnacentral:rRNA from 1 species